rnacentral:rRNA from 1 species
UACAGAGGUCUCAAGCGUUGCUCGGAAUCACUGGGCGUAAAGGGUGCGUAGGCGGCCGUGCAAGUCUGGCGUGAAAGCCCCGGGCUCAGCCCGGGAAGUGCGCUCGAAACUGCGCGGCUCGAGUGCCGGAGGGGAGAGUGGAAUUCCUGGUGUAGCGGUGAAAUGCGUAGAUAUCAGGAGGAACACCGGUGGCGAAGGCGGCAUCCUGGACCACGACUGACGCUGAGUGAGCGAAAGCCAGGGGAGCAAACGGG